AAAGGAAUAGCAAUGAUGUUCAGUUAAGAAACACAGAUAGUGAAAACUUUCUUUUGUUGAGGAAAUCGAACGUGGCAUGCAGCUUCCACUGAGUGCAAGAUCCUGAGGCCUAGCUACCGGCUGUUGAGUCCUGAGCACCCGCGCAACAUGGAGGAGUCCUCUGCCAAUCACCCCUUGCUGUGAGAAAUGGAUAAAAGCUGCAAAACCAAGGGAAUCACUAACAGAACAAUAGAGGUGAAGAAGGAAAUUAUUUCCAAACAUGAAAGUGGUGUCUGUGUAUGUGAUCUGGCAAUGCAGUUUGGUAUGGCCAAAUCUACAAUUUGUACCAUCCUAAAAAAUAAAGAAGCCAUUAAAGGAGCCAGUGUUGCAAGAGGUGUUAAAAUACAAGACAAAGAACACAGGCAAUUGAAGAAAUGGAAAAAUUGCUUUUUGUAUGGAUAAAUGAAAAACAGUCGGCGGUGACAGCGUUUCUGAGAACAUGAUUUGUGAAAAAGCUUUACAUUUGCAUGCUGACCUCAUCAAAAACAUCCGUAGAACAAGUGCUGAGAGUGAUAUUUUCAAGGCAAGUAGAAGGUGGUUUGAAAAGUUUAAGAGGAGCCCGGCCGGG